rnacentral:rRNA from 1 species
GCAAUGAGAGGCAGGCGACCACGGUGGGCUUAGCGACUGGGGUGAAGUCGUAACAAGGUAGCCGUAGGGGAACCUGCGGCUGGAUCACCUCCUUUCUAAGG